rnacentral:rRNA from 2 species
UGGCCUUUUGGAGAUUUAUAUAAAAGGUUGGGCCUGCCCGGUGAUCUGAAAUGGUUUAACGGCUGCGAUUGAAACCGUACUAAGGUAGCAUAAUAAUUUGCCCUUUAAUUGGGGGAGAGAAUGAAUGGUUUGACGGUAAAAAAGCUGUUUUAAAAAUAAAAAAGGAAGUUAACUUUUAAGUGAAAAGGCUUAAGUUUUUAUAAAAGACGAGAAGACCCCGUCGAGCUUAAUUAGAGUAACUUAAAUGUAGGUUAUUUAAAAUUUUAUUGGGGCAAUAGAAAAUGAAAUGAAUCAUUUUUUUUAUUAUAAGGAUCCAGUUUUGACUGAAAAAAGCAAAAGCUACCGCGGGGAUAACAGGGUAAUUUUUUCUGAGAGUUCAUAUUUAAGAAGAAGUUUGCUACCUCGAUGUUGGAUUAGAAUUUCUUUAUGCUUGCAGCAGGUAUAAUAGUAGGACUGUUCGUCCUUUAAAAUUUUA